rnacentral:rRNA from 1 species
GGGUCAGUAGGUUGGUCGUGCCACCGGUACGUACUGGUCUCACUGAUUCCUCCUUCCUGAAGAACCGUAAUGCCAUUAAUUUGGUGUUGCGGGGAAACAGGACUGUUACUUUGAAAAAAUUAGAGUGUUUAAGGCAAGCUAACGCUUGAAUACAUUAGCAUGGAAUAAUGAAAUAGGACGAUCGAUCCUAUUUUGUUGGUUUCUAGGAUUGACGUA